rnacentral:rRNA from 1 species
GACGAACGCUGGCGGCGUGCUUAACACAUGCAAGUCGAGCGGUAAGGCCCUUUCGGGGGUACACGAGCGGCGAACGGGUGAGUAACACGUGGGUGACCUGCCCUCAGCUCUGGGAUAAGCCUGGGAAACCGGGUCUAAUACUGGAUAUGACUCCAUGACGCAUGUUGUGGGGUGGAAAGCCUUGUGCGGCUGAGGAUGGGCCCGCGGCCUAUCAGCUUGUUGGUGGGGUGANGGCCUACCAAGGCGACGACGGGUAGCCGGCCUGAGAGGGCGACCGGCCACACUGGAACUGAGACACGGCCCAGACUCCUACGGGAGGCAGCAGUGGGGAAUCUUGCGCAAUGGGCGAAAGCCUGACGCAGCGACGCCGCGUGAGGGAUGACGGCCUCGG